UUUGAUAUAAGAGGAGGAGGCAGUUCUUUGUCCGGGCUCCCGUCAAAUGCAGAAAAAGGAAUAGCAGACUCCAGCAAUUUAGUCCAGUAUGACUUGUUUGUAACAUCGGCUUCUACUUCAUUAUCCACUUCCAUACCCAACUCAUUUUCCUCAACAUCACUUUUUCUUUUAACCUUUCUAUUAGAUCGUAAUAGAAGAUCAUCUUCCUCCUUGGAAGAAACCCUAGCAGAGCUUUCAAUCUCUUCCAUUUUCCUGUCGUUCCUAAAGUUUCC
rnacentral:lncRNA from 1 species